UACUUAAGUAGAAUAUGAAAUAUGGUAAGGUACCACGCGCUUAAGUGAUUUUGGCAUAUCAUAAGAUUGGGCCAGAUACACUUAAAUGGGCUUUUUAGCGUGAAGCCAACACAAGUGAUUUUAUAAAUAGAACCCUUGUGCAGAAGCAUUUGUGCAGUUGAAAUUUAUUUUCUCUCUCUCUCACUCAAAGCCUUAAUUCGUAGCAGCUAGCACUGAGAUUGAAGGAAUCCGUUCGUGUGGACUGAGUAGAGGCGUUGUCACCAUUAAACAUUCAUGAUCACUCCUUAGAUCUGCAUCAAAGGUUUCAAUCUCCAUAAGAGAUUACCAUGACAACAAACACCUCUAACAACAUUUUACGAUCAAUCCUUGAUAAGGAAAAAUUGGCUACGACAAAUUUUCUGGAUUGGCACCAAAAUCUGAGGAUUGUCCUCAAACAUGAAUGAUAUGGACAAAUCUCUUCCUGAACUGCUAGCCAUGUUAAGAACUGCUGAGCAGAAUCUGAAGUCAAAAGGGAAGUCCAUUCUGAUGAUCAGAAAUGGAAAGAGACAGAACAAAAGACCCACCAAGCAGGGUGAUAAAGGGAAAGGCAAGGAAAUUGCCAAACCCAAACCCACAACUCCUGCUUUUAAGCCUAGUGGAGGCAUAGCAACGGAAGGCACCUGCUUCCAUUGCGGUAAGACCGGACACUAGAAGAGAAACUGCCCAAAGUACCUAGAAGAUAAGAAGAAUGGAGUAGAGACUUCAACUUCAGGGGCUAAAAAGGAGUAGAGAUUGGGCAAAAGGUGAAGUUGUCCUACGAGUUGGCAAGGGAGCAAAGGUUGCUGCUUUAGCCGUAGGAACUUAUGUAUUGACUUUACCUAGUGGUUUAAUAAUUCAGUUAGAGAACUGUUAUUAUGUACCCGCAAUUAGCUGGAAUAUUAUUUCCGUUU